rnacentral:rRNA from 1 species
GAUGAACGCUGGCGGCGUGCCUAAUACAUGCAAGUCGAGCGAACGGACGAGAAGCUUGCUUCUCUGAUGUUAGCGGCGGACGGGUGAGUAACACGUGGAUAACCUACCUAUAAGACUGGUAAAUUUCGGGAAACCGGGGCUAAAACCGGUAAAAAUUUUUAACCCCUUGGGUCAAAAGUAAAAGUACGGCUUUCUGGCAUGUAUUGAUGGAUUCGCGCCGCAUUAGAUAGUUGGUAAGGUAACGGCUUACCAAGGGAACGAUGCAUUGCCGACCUGAGAGGGUGAUCGGCCACACUGGAACUGAGACACGGUCCAGACUCCUACGGGAGGCAGCAGUAGGGAAUCUUCCGCAAUGGGCGAAAGCCUGACGGAGCAACGCCGCGUGAGUGAUGAAGGUCUUCGGAUCGUAAAACUCUGUUAUUAGGGAAGAACAUAUGUGUAAGUAACUGUGCACAUCUUGACGGUACCUAAUCAGAAAGCCACGGCUAACUACGUG